rnacentral:lncRNA from 1 species
CCCCCCCCUUCUUACCUCAAAAUUCCAGUAGGAAAUCCUAGCUUUGGUUAUGGCUUCUCCUUCUCCAACCCCUGACUUUGUCUUUGUCUCACAAAAUCUCUUUCUCCUAAUUUCCAAUUGUACACCCCCCUUCUUACCUCAAAAUUCCAGUAGGAAAUCCUAGCUUUGGUUAUGGCUUCUCCUUCUCCAACCCCUGACUUUGUCUUUGUCUCACAAAAUCUCUUUCUCCUAAUUUCCAAUUGUACGUACUGAUCAAAAUAGCUCCAACUUAUUCUUAAUGUUACCUUAUUCCCUUAUUUUCUCAUUAUCCUUAU